GGCUGGAUCAUUAUCGAGCUUAAACUGAAACUCUAGCCUUCGCGGCUAGUCGUGGCCUGAACUAUAUGCGGUCCGUUCGCUUGACGGAUGCCGGCAUGCCACAGUGACCCAACGGCUUUGGUUGGUGUCUGGAGUUGCCCGAGCGGUUGUUGCCUCAGUCCGUGGCCGCGAUGAAGGCUUCUCAUCACCCAUACGUCCCGCUAGUUCGGGGUAGCGGAUGGGCAGACUUAAUGAGCUCCGGUAGUGAGCCGCCAACACCCACUUUUUUUCAACGAUUUUUUUAAACGAGACUAACGUAUCAGUCUUACCGGUGGAUCACUCGGUUCGUGGAUCGAUGAAGAACGCAGCAAACUGCGAUAAGUAGCGUGAAUUGCAGACGCUUUGAACGUUAAACUUUCGAACGCACAUUGCGCCGUCGGAGUCCUAUCCGGCGGCACAUCUGGUUGAGGGUCGUGAUCAAAAACAGCCUGCCUGCGAGCUGUUAGUAGAAGUAGCUGGUGGAUCACUAGUCCGGUGCCUCGUGCUAACGAGUGCUGCCUCUACCGGAAGUGGUCUGCCAUAAUGCUAUAGAGGAUGUCCCUCGGUGGACGCCUACCACACGGAUGGUCUAUCGGCGGAGGAGAUAGAUCCCCGUCCCAGGGUCGCAUGCUUUCGUUGACUCUGGGAUGGUUGGGAUACCGCCGAUAUGCCCCAUACGUGCCUGGUGUAGAAAGCUUUCGCUUUCCCGACCUCAACUCA
rnacentral:rRNA from 1 species